rnacentral:rRNA from 1 species
GACAGAGGGUGCAAACGUUGUUCGGAAUUACUGGGCGUAAAGAGCUCGUAGGUGGUUUGUCGCGUUGUUCGUGAAAACUCACAGCUUAACUGUGGGCGUGCGGUCGAUACGGGCAUCACUGGAGUUCGGCAGGGGAGACUGGAAUUCCUGGUGUAGCGGUGAAAUGCGCAGAUAUCAGGAGGAACACCGGUGGCGAAGGCGGUGGUCUGGGCCGGCACUGACGCUGAGGAGCGAAAGCGUGGGUAGCAAACAGG